GAUGAAGAACGUAGCGAACUGCGAUAAGUAAUUUGAAUUGCAGAAUUCAGUGAAUCAUCGAGUCUUUGAACGCACAUUGCGCCCCCUGGCAUUCCGGGGGGCAUGCCUGUCCGAGCGUCAUUGCUGCCCUUCAAGCCCGGCUUGUGUGUUGGGUCGUCGUCCCCCCCGGGGGACGGGCCCGAAAGGCAGCGGCGGCACCGCGUCCGGUCCUCGAGCGUAUGGGGCUUUGUCACCCGCUCGAUUAGGGCCGGCCGGGCGGCAGCCGGCGUCUCCAACCUUCUAUUUUACCAGGUUGACCUCGGAUCAGGUAGGGAUACCCGCUGAACUUAAGCAUAUCAAUAAGCGGAGGA
rnacentral:misc_RNA from 1 species